rnacentral:rRNA from 1 species
UGAGCAACCUGCCCUUGACUCUGGAAUAACAGCUGGAAACAGCUGCUAAUACCGGAUACGACCUCCGAUGGCAUCAUCUGGAGGUGGAAAGCUCCGACGGUCAAGGAUGGGCUCGCGGCCUAUCAGCUUGUUGGUGAGGUAAUGGCUCACCAAGGCGACGACGGGUAGCCGGCCUGAGAGGGCGAUCGGCCACACUGGGACUGAGACACGGCCCAGACUCCG